GCCUCGAUAGUCUAAUUGGUAAGGACGCUUACACGGAAUGUAAGAAAUCCGGGUUCGAUUCCCGGCCGAGAUA
rnacentral:tRNA from 1 species